AAAAUCUUGCCAAUUCAAUAUAUUGCAGGACCAUGUAGGCCU
rfam:Shigella dysenteriae Sd197, complete genome.